AUUGAACGCUGGCGGCAGGCCUAACACAUGCAAGUCGAACGAGUGGCGGACGGGUGAGUAAUGUCUGGGAAACUGCCUGAUGGAGGGGGAUAACUACUGGAAACGGUAGCUAAUACCGCAUACCAUCAGAUGUGCCCAGAUGGGAUUAGCUAGUUGGUGGGGUAACGGCUCACAAAGGCGACGAUCCCUCGCUGGUCUGAGAGGAUGACCAGCAACACUGGAACGAAGACACGGGCCAGACUCCUACGGGAGGCACCAGGGGGAAAUAUUGCACAAUGGGCGCAAGCCUGAUGUAGCCAUGCCGCGUGUAUGAAGAAGGCCUUCGGGUGGUAAAGUACUUUCAGCGGGGAGGCGUUACCCGAAGAAGAAGCACCGGCUAACUCCGUGCCAGCAGCCGCGGUAAUUC
rnacentral:rRNA from 1 species